GCUCCCGCCGCCGCCGCCGCGGCGGUCGGGACUGCUCUGCUGGGCGCUGGGGAACCGAGAGAGGGACCACCCGGUUGCUACGGCGACCUUGGAGGCUCCGGGCCCGCUGAAGGGCCAAGAGGAGAACCCGGGCGCACGUGGCUGACUACUGGCUAGAGCGGCCGUGUGCCAGGAUUGUGGGCUUCGGGUAGAUGGUGGAAUUGGGCCGCGCGGCCUGAGCAGAGGAUGCGAUUGUGUGCGGCCCAGAGUGGCUCGGCCAGGGUGCGGUCAGCGUGCAGGUUGGAUUCAACUUAGCUUUGCAGGCAUCCAAGCAGUGCCUCCUUCAAAUCAGGUUCGUCCAAGAGUCAUCCCACCCCACAACUCUCGCUCCUCCUUCAUCCCAACUACAUUGUAAUACCUUAGAAGUAAAUGUUUAAAGCACAUUACAUGCCCUGCCUCUUAAAAGA